CUUCUGAGUGAUCAUUACUUAUACUGUUAUGUUUUGUAAAAACCUGCUAUCAUUACUAAACAACAUUAGUUAAUUGUACUUUUUAGCUGAAAUAGUAAGUGCCACUAAUCCGGUUUAGUAGAAUUAACUUGGUGUGUUUAGUUUUAUAACAAAGGGGAGGGGCCUAAUUCAAAACUUCACUGGGCGCCCCACAAGGCCUCUGCAACGGAUUCAACGCGGACUCUGCGGGAGGGAAGAAAGCAGACUGUUGCCGACAUUUUCUCAGCAGCAUUGAACGCCUUGAACGAUCCUUGUGUUGUGAAGAUGCUGUGGAAGUGAUUCUUCGAAAGCUUUACGGUGGACAGAUUCUGCAGGUUCUGCAUGGCAACAAGGGACGAGAUGCAAGCCAAAGAGAUGACUGCAAACCAGAAAAUGACCAUGAGAGUCAUUCUAACAGAGGCAGAUAUAAGGAAAGUCAUCC